rnacentral:rRNA from 1 species
GCAACGCCGCGUAGAGGGACGACGGCCUUCGGGUUGUAAACCUCUUUUAGCAGGGAAGAAGCGAAAGUGACGGUACCUGCAGAAAAAGCGCCGGCUAACUACGUGCCAGCAGCCGCGGUAAUACGUAGGGCGCAAGCGUUAUCCGGAAUUAUUGGGCGUAAAGAGCUCGUAGGCGGUUUGUCGCGUCUGCUGUGAAAACCCGAGGCUCAACCUCGGGCCUGCAGUGGGUACGGGCAGACUAGAGUGCGGUAGGGGAGAUUGGAACUCCUGGUGUAGCGGUGGAAUGCGCAGAUAUCAGGAAGAACACCGAUGGCGAAGGCAGAUCUCUGGGCCGUAACUGACGCUGAGGAGCGAAAGGGUGGGGAGCAAACAGGCUUAGAUACCCUGGUAGUCCACCCCGUAAACGUUGGGAACUAGUUGUGGGGACCAUUCCACGGUUUCCGUGACGCAGCUAACGCAUUAAGUUCCCCGCCUGGGGAGUACGGCCGCAAGGCUAAAACUCAAAGGAAUUGACGG